rnacentral:rRNA from 1 species
AUGAUUAGAGCCUUCCAAGAUAAUGCAAUUGAUGCAGAGAUUGUUGGUGGGAAACAUGUUGGGAAGAGGGUCUUUAUACCGAGGAUCCCUUUGUCACCAUCGGAGGACAUCUCGCUUUCCUUCAAGCUUAAGAGGAAACAAUUCCCCAUCCGCCUAAGUUUUGUGAUGACCAUUAACAAGGCGCAGGGCCAGACCAUCCCAAAUGUUGGCAUUUAUCUUCCCGAGCCGGUGUUCUCCCAUGGUCAGCUGUAUGUUGCCUUGUCAAGGGGUGUAUCAAGGCGGACGACGCGAAUUUUGGCCGAGCCGAACAAACAGAUUGAUAAAUCAGGAAAAAGCACAAAAUAUUGUCUAUAG